AUGGCAGAGGAGAUUGCUGCUCUUGAACGCACUGGUACUUGGGAUCUUGUUUCUCUUCCUCCCGGAGUCCGUCCGAUCACUUGUAAGUGGGUCUACAAGGUUAAGACUCGCUCCGAUGGUUCUCUUGAGCGUCACAAAGCUCGUCUUGUGGCUCGUGGUUUUCAGCAGGAGCAUGGUCGUGAUUAUGACGAGACUUUUGCUCCUGUGGCUCAUAUGACCACUGUUCGUACCCUUCUUGCCGUUGCCUCUGCACGCCACUGGUCUAUAUCUCAGCUUGAUGUUAAGAAUGCCUUUCUUAAUGGUGAGCUGCGUGAGGAGGUGUACAUGCAGCCACCACCUGGGUAUUCUGUUCCUGAUGGCAUGAUAUGUCGUCUUCGUCGCUCUCUCUAUGGCCUUAAGCAAGCCCCCCGCGCCUGGUUUGAGCGCUUUGCCUCUGUGAUCACUGCUGCUGGUUUUUUAGCAAGUGCUCAUGAUCCCGCAUUGUUUAUUCACCUUUCUCCUCGUGGUCGGACACUUCUUCUUCUUUAUGUUGAUGACAUGAUCAUCACGGGGGAUGACCCCGAGUAUAUUGCCUUUGUAAAGGCCCGUCUUAGUGAGCAGUUUCUUAUGUCUGAUCUUGGACCUCUUCGCUACUUUCUUGGGAUUGAAGUCUCUUCUACCUCUGAUGGCUUUUUUAUAUCACAGGAAAAGUAUAUCCAGGAUCUUCUUGCUCGUGCUGCUCUUACUGACGAGCGCGUUGUUGAGACUCCUAUGGAGCUCAAUGUUCACCUCCGUGCUACUGAUGGUGAUCCUCUCCCUGAUCCGACGCGUCAUCGUCAUCUUGUUGGCAGUCUUGUCUAUCUAGCUGUCACUCGUCCGGACAUAUCUUAUCCGGUUCAUAUUCUGAGUCAGUUUGUCUCUGCCCCCACCUCGGUUCACUAUAGUCAUCUCCUUCGUGUUCUUCGAUAUCUUUGA
rnacentral:rRNA from 1 species